rnacentral:misc_RNA from 2 species
AUGAAACAAAUUCAGGAACCGAGGGCCUCUGUGAAGCCUGUGGUCGCGAAUUUCAUUACCAUCCCUUCUGUGCACAUUCCAUGUUGCUUCCGUGUGUCUGCAGUCCCUUACACUGGGAUGCCUGAAAAGCCUCACUCAUCCUGAGGGCGCACGGGAAUGAACACCAUGCUCUGGUUUCUGUAUUUAUAGUCGGAGUGGUUACCACGUCAUAACAAAUUA